rnacentral:rRNA from 1 species
CCUACGGGGGGCAGCAGUGAGGAAUAUUGGUCAAUGGCCGGGAGGCUGAACCAGCCAAGUCGCGUGAGGGAAGACGGCCCUACGGGUUGUAAACCUCUUUUGUCAGGGAGCAAGGUGCAGGUCGGGACCUGCUGUGAGAGUACCUGAAGAAAAAGCAUCGGCAAACUCCGUGCCAGCAGCCGCGGUAAUAGGGAGGAUGCGAGCGUUAUCCGGAUUUAUUGGGGUUAACGGGUGCGCAGGCGGAGGCACAAGUCAGCGGGAAAAUCGCGGGGCUCAACCCCGCUCCGCCGUUGAAACUGGUUGCCUUGAGUGCGGGAAGGGUAGGCGGAAUGCGUGGUGUAGCGGUGAAAUGCAUAGAUAUCACGCAGAACUCCGAUCGCGAAGGCAGCCUACCGGCGCGCAACUGACGCUCAUGCACGAAAGCGUGGGUAUCGAACAGGAUUAGAUACCCUAGUAGUC